GAUGAACGCUGGCGGCGUGCCUAAUACAUGCAAGUCGAGCGAACAGAUAAGGAGCUUGCUCCUUUGACGUUAGCGGCGGACGGGUGAGUAACACGUGGGUAACCUACCUAUAAGACUGGGAUAACUUCGGGAACCCGGAGCUAAUACCGGAUAAAAUUUCAAACCGCAUGGUUCAUUAGGGGAGGUGGGUUUUGCUAUCACUAUUGGAUGGCCCGAGCCGGAUUAGGUAGUUGGUAAGGUAACGGCUUACCAAAGCGACGAUACGUAGCCGACCUGAGAGGGUGAUCGGCCACACUGGAACUGAGACACGGUCCAGACUCCUACGGGAGGCAGCAGUAGGGAAUCUUCCGCAAUGGGCGAAAGCCUGACGGAGCAACGCCGCGUGAGUGAUGAAGGUCUUCGGAUCGUAAAACUCUGUUAUUAGGGAAGAACAUACGUGUAAGUAACUGUGCACGUCUUGACGGUACCUAAUCAGAAAGCCACGGCUAACUACGUG
rnacentral:rRNA from 1 species